UUUUUUUUGUUUCUUUUUAACAAACCAGAAACAUUGAACUGUGUGUUUUCAUUCUGUAUUAUCACUAUACACUGCUCAGCCACAACAUUAAAACCUCCUGCCUAAUAUUGUGCUGCCAAUACAGCUCUGAUGUUUCCAGGCAUGUGUGAAGACGUGCCCUUCGCCACUUGGUCCUGGAGAGGCCUGCUUGCCAGCCUCCUCCCCUGUGACUAUGACUCUUUG